rnacentral:rRNA from 1 species
AUGGAGGAAACAGCGAGAAACUACAUCAGCAAGCUCAUUGGCAGAAACUUAAUCCAACCAUCACAGCUGAAUCAUGAUGGCACCCAUAGGAGCUACGUUCUUCAUCCAGUAAUACACGACUUCAUCAUUUGCAAGUCCAUGGAAGACAACUUUGUCGCUCUGGUACAUGCUCAGCAGCAAGAUGUCCCACCUGUCAAUGGCACUGCCCGAUGGCUAUUUUUGCUGAAUAGUGGUAAGCAUGAUCAGGCCGCUACACAAAUCGAUGGGGCAAAAGUAUCUCGUUCUCGCUUGAUCACCGUAUUUUCUCACACCGGUCGCAUGCCUCGUCUAAAUGAACUCAGUGUACUGCGGGUUCUUGACCUUGAAGGCUGUCAAGGUCCACUGUGCCUUGAUGGUCUCUACGAAUUGCUGCUUAUGAGGUACUGGAACCUCAAGGUAACAGAUGUCAGUGAGCUCCCUACACAGAUUGGAGAGCUAAGAUGCCUGGAGACACUGGAUGUGAGAUCCACAAAGGUGAAAGAGCUACCUCCCAGCAUUCUCAGGCUGGAAAAGUUAAUGCAUUUGCUCGUCGGGAACGCCAAGUUGCCGAGUGGGAUAACCAAGAUGAAGUCACUGUUGAAACUUUCGUGCAGCAAUAUCGGGAAGAGUGUUGAUGUGGAUAUCAUUCAAGAGCUCAGUGAAAUGGCAAGCUUGCGGGAACUGAAGUUAUUUUGUAAUGUUCCUCGGACUUCUGAGGAUAAGAAACAAGUUGCAUUUCCAAGUGAUGGAUUUCAGAGUCUUAAGAAGAUUUCGAUAAGGUGCAGCUUGCCAUCUAUGACCUUUGUGACCGACGCUUUAUCGAAGGUUGAAGUUCUUGAGCUAAAGUUUGAAGAAGGCCUUUCAAAGGAGUCGAGUGGUGUGUCUGGCGUUGAGCAUCUGUCAGGCCUGAAGCAUAUGCUCAUCGAGUUUUCACAGCAUGAUGCGGGUGCUGCAGCAGCAAUGGCUGCAGUCAAGAAGGUUGCUGAGAAGGUCCACCCUAAUUGUCAAGUGAUCAUCAUGAACAUUGAUAAGAAGACUGACCAAUAG